rnacentral:lncRNA from 1 species
GCCGGUUUAGUUUACUCAAUUCGGUUCAAUCGGACCAUUUUUCCAUUAUUAAUUUAUAAUAAUUUAUUAACCCAAAUUAACUUGGAUAUAAAUUAAAAUUAAUUAUAUUAUGAAUUGAUACACAUAAUUUUGGACUUUUUUAGGCUGGAAAUUAAUUUUCCUUGGUACUUCAAAUUGCUUCUCGAUUUUGUGCUUCUAGCAGUGUCUGCCAAGCCAUUUUUCGCCCUUUUUGUAAU